rnacentral:rRNA from 1 species
UACAGAGGGUGCAAGCGUUAAUCGGAAUUACUGGGCGUAAAGCGUGCGUAGACGGUUGCGUAAGUCAGAUGUGAAAGCCCCGGGCUCAACCUGGGAAUUGCAUUUGAGACUGCGUAGCUAGGGUGCGGAAGAGGGAAGUGGAAUUUCCGGUGUAGCGGUGAAAUGCGUAGAUAUCGGAAGGAACACCAGUGGCGAAAGCGGCUUCCUGGUCCAGCACCGACGUUCAGGCACGAAAGCGUGGGGAGCAAACAGG